AUGCAAGUCGAACGGAAAGGCCCCUUCGGGGGUACUCGAGUGGCGAACGGGUGAGUAACACGUGGGUAAUCUGCCCUGCACUUCGGGAUAAGCCUGGGAAACUGGGUCUAAUACCGGAUAGGACCACUUGGCGCAUGCCUUGUGGUGGAAAGCUUUUGCGGUGUGGGAUGGGCCCGCGGCCUAUCAGCUUGUUGGUGGGGUGACGGCCUACCAAGGCGACGACGGGUAGCCGGCCUGAGAGGGUGUCCGGCCACACUGGGACUGAGAUACGGCCCAGACUCCUACGGGAGGCAGCAGUGGGGAAUAUUGCACAAUGGGCGCAAGCCUGAUGCAGCGACGCCGCGUGGGGGAUGACGGCCUUCGGGUUGUAAACCUCUUUCAGCAGGGACGAAGCGCAAGUGACGGUACCUGCAGAAGAAGCACCGGCCAACUACGUGCCAGCAGCCGCGGUAAUACGU
rnacentral:rRNA from 1 species